rnacentral:rRNA from 1 species
AGACGAAGGUGGCGAGCGUUACUCGGAUUUACUGGGCAUAAAGCGCGCGUAGGCGGCUUGGUCAGUCGGAGGUGAAAGCCCGCAGCUCAACUGCGGAACUGCCCCCGAUACUGCCAGGCUUGAGUGCAGGAGAGGUGAUUGGAACUCCAGGUGUAGCGGUGAAAUGCGUAGAUAUCUGGAGGAACACCAGAGGCGAAGGCGAAUCACUGGACUGCAACUGACGCUAAGGCGCGAAAGCUAGGGGAGCGAACAGGAUUAGAAACCCCGGUAGUCC